rnacentral:lncRNA from 1 species
GGAGCUUUUCUGAACAAAAACAAACGAAUAAAAAAGGAUCAAACCUUUAAUUCGAACUACUCUGAACUUGUCUGGAGAUUUUUCUUGAACUGAAGUAUGCUUGGAUUGGGAGACCACACUAGAAUAAUUCAGGCAGACAUGAUGUGGAGAUUUCUUCUAAUCCAGGUACCAGGCUAAUGUGUGCCAAGAACAAACACACAUGAACUGAUGAAAAUACACAAGGCGACACUAGGUAUCUUUCGAGAGACGGACUGAGAGGCGAGUGACUAGUGAGAACACACACACAGACUGACUAGAACAAACACACACAAAGUGACGCUCACUUGCGAUUGAGAGGCGAGGCAGACUACGUGGAUCCAUUGACACGAGCAUGCUUUUCCCUCGAGAACGAUUUGACAACUAUGAUUAAGAAUAUAUAGAUCAAAUCCCUCAUUCAACAAUAAGAGCAAAAGCCGUUCAAGUAAACAAAGUGGCCAUCAGCACGCGUAAAUCAAGGCCGUCAGUUCAAGCAUUGUGUGGCCAGCAUGAAAUGUGCUUGAAUAUUAGCUGAACUUUGUACAGGGAUCUAAACUUACCUGAACUCAUUUUACAUGGAUUUGCACGGUUGGCCGAUGAUGAAGGUAGGGCGAGCAG